rnacentral:rRNA from 1 species
UACGUAGGCAGCAAGCGUUGUUCGGAAUUACUGGGCGUAAAGCGUGUGUAGGCGGUUGGGUAAGUCUGGUGUGAAAUCUCCCGGCUCAACUGGGAGGGUGCGCCGGAAACUGCCUGGCUAGAGUGCGGAAGAGGAGAGUGGAAUUCCCGGUGUAGCGGUGAAAUGCGUAGAUAUCAGGAGGAACACCGAUGGCGAAGGCAGGUCUCUGGGCUGACACUGACGCUCAUGCACGAAAGCGUGGGGAGCAAACAGG